rnacentral:rRNA from 16 species
GGUGGAUGCCUUGGCACCAGGAGCCGAUGAAGGACGUAGGAGGCUGCGAUAAGCCUCGGGGAGCUGUC